GACGAACGCUGGCGGCGUGCUUAACACAUGCAAGUCGAACGGAAAGGCCCUGCUUUUGUGGGGUGCUCGAGUGGCGAACGGGUGAGUAACACGUGAGUAACCUGCCAUAGACUUUGGGAUAACUUCAGGAAACUGGGGCUAAUACCGGAUAGGAGCUCCUGCUGCAUGGAGGGGGAAGGAAAGUUUCGUCGGUUGGGGAUGGACUCGCGGCUUAUCAGCUUGUUGGUGGGGUAAUGGCUUACCAAAGCUUUGACGGGUAGCCGGCCUGAGAGGGUGACCGGCCACAUUAGGACUGAGAUAAGGCCCAGACUCCAACCGGACGCAACAGUGGGGAAUAGUGCACUAUGGGCGGAAGCCUGAUGCAGCAACGCCGCGUGCGGGAAGACAACCUUCGGGUUGUGAACCGCUGUCGCCUGUGACGAAGCGUGAGUGACGGUAAUGGAUAAAGAAGCACCGGCUAACUACGUG
rnacentral:rRNA from 1 species